rnacentral:rRNA from 1 species
UACCAGCACCCCGAGUGGUCGGGACGUUUAUUGGGCCUAAAGCAUCCGUAGCCGGUUCUACGAGUCUUCCGUUAAAUCCAACUGCUUAACAGGUGGGCUGCGGAAGAUACUAUAGAGCUAGGAGGCGGGGAGAGGCAAGCGGUACUCGAUGGGUAGGGGGUAAAAAUCCGUUGAUCCAUUGAAGACCACCAGUGGCGAAGGCGGCUUGCCAGAACGCGCUCGACGGUGAGGGAUGAAAGCUGGGGGGAGCAAACCGG